UAUAUACAUUCUUCUCCCUUAUUCUAGAAAAAAAAAAUACCGAUCAAAUUUUCUCUCAAAUUCUCCUUCUCUACUUCUACCCUCAUACUGCUCCUCAAUUGCUCCUCAAUUCAGAUUAUCGUGCUUUGGUUCGAGUUUUCCCCCAGUGUUGCUAUAUUUCCGACGUAUAGUAAUAAAAAAAUACUCUUUUUUUUUUUUGGGUAUUUUAUUCCACUGCUUUUGAUUUGUAGUUUAUUGUAGAAUUUUGUAUGGCUAUUAUGCUGAUUUUCAGGAAUUUGGGGUUCAUAGCAAUCUUAGAAGCAUCAAAGAUUGUACUUUUGUGUUUUUUGAGGUUGAUUCUUGAUUCAGAUCAUUUUUUUUGUGAACUCAGCAAGAGUAAUUGAAGAUUGUAUUUUAGUUUAUCUUGAGGUUGAAUUUUAUCAGAUCAGAGAGUACUUUGGUAAUUGGAAGUUGGUUUUUGUUUGUGUGGAGGAACCUACUAACAGUCAUCAAAUAUUAACCUUUUUUGGUGCAUUUUCAAGUUGAAUAUUGAUUAGAUCAAAGAGUACUUUUGUGGUCUUGAGGGAAUUGAGUCAUGUUCUAUGGUUCAGUGCUGUGGGAUCCAUGGCUAAUUGUUGCCCAAAUUUGAUACAUUUCAAUUAUCUAACCCUCUUUGAUCAGGACACUCCUGUCAUCGAGAGCAUCUGAACAUGUGAAGUAACCAUAUAUCCUUGAGAUAAUUUCAAGACAUAGAUGAAGUGGUUAGAAAUGGGACUUUAAGGUGUACGAAAAGGGACGAACAAGGGUAUUUUGGUAAUUAUGAGUUCAUUUAGGGAUAAAUUGGUAAUUAGUCAUCAUUCUUCUCCAGGAAAACACGUGGUCUGCAUUUUGUGUAACACGUGCACUGCAGUUUUUACCGAGUCCUCCUCUGUCGGAGAAGUUUACAGUACUGUUUAGAAAUUUUCUAUUGCCUUCAACUUUUACCAGAGCUUCGAAUGACUGGGUUAUCUGAGAUGUCUCGACGUUUAGAGAUGGGUGCAUUUUCGUGCUGUUUUAGGGAUGUAGCUAUGUCAAUUCAUUACUACCGACUCCCGGAGAAGUUAAUUACCAGAUUUUUUUUGUAGCUAUUCUUAAAAUUCCUGUGGCAUUUGUUAUUCUUUUAACCAAUUUCGUACAUGCAUUGAUUGAAGAAAAGGGGCUAUAGAGAAAGGUAGAAGUUUGAUGCAGCAAAGAUGUUUGACAAUAUGCCUCAGGUACUGGAUAUAUUUUUUGAUCUAUCCUCCGGCGAUCCAAAGGUGGGAGAAAUUUGCCAACAUUUUAAGAAUUGACAUUUAAGGAAUGCUUCAAAAUCAGUCAAGGCAAAUUUUGUUGAUGGUAAGGUGAAAAUCAGUUACAGCUGCAUGAUCUAUUCUUGGAAUUAGGUCAGUAAUAGUUGCACAAUGAGGACAACAAAUAUGCCCCAAUAAUGUAGCAUUGCCCAACCAUGAUGACUAAUUACGUAAAAUCAGAACUAUCUUCAUGGUUUAGUUUUUUCUACUUCUUUUAAGCUUUGCUUCUAUUUCUCCCUCAAAUGAAAAUUAACUUCAUAAUCUAUGAUAUGUGUGUGUGCAUAUGUUUUUGCUUUAGGAAGAAAUAUUAAAUUAGCAGGCCGCACAGGAAGCAACAUCUUUUGGUGUAUUAACUCAGUCAUGUCACAAUGUUAGUCAUAAUCCAAGGCCUUUGCACAUUGGCUUUCUUAUUCUGCUUAAUUAUUUAGGACGGAACAUGCAAUAUUUUUAUGGAUUUGAUCUAGCGUAGAAGAUCAUUUCCUUUGAACAAUUUUUUAUUUGAUUUAAAUGGGAAGAAAUUGUCUUUGCUAGCUUCUUUCUUAUUUUGGUGGUGGAACAUAAAAUGUAGCAAGACUUUGCACAGUAGCUUACUUUGAGCUAUAUGGAACUGUCAAGGUUUACUGAGAAUAUUAUAUUCUUCAAUUAAUUUGUUGCAACAGUAAGGGAGUGAAAUAGUGAAUGCAAGACGCUUAAACAGAGUAAUCAGAGCUUCGUGGCUAAAGUCCCACAAGAGAACCUGGUUAAAAGAAUUCCACAAUUGAAACAAGAUAUAUUACUACUUAAAGUUGAUACUGCCAAAAGAUCUUCUAGAACUAUGACAGUCCAGACAAGUUUCUCCCAUUUUUCCAGUGUUGGUUCUUGAAAUAUUUUAUAAGAAAGAAAUAAUUGAUGUAGAUGUCCCAUAUAAUGUCUUAGAUGAUUGAUUACGUCACGGGUCUUACAAUUUCGUUUACUGGGUACAUUUUACGUUUGGAGUAAGACUUAGAAAACCUUAUGUCGCAUGUGUUUUGUGGAUAUGAAAGAAACCAAAGAUGUUUUAAUGGGAGUUCUAUGGCUCUAUGUUCCUGUCUCUCACACUUAUAUAUGGGAGAAGUUCAUUCAUUCUAUGAAAGGAUAUGAUGAAGGAUCGGUUCCUUCUUUAUAAGAUUAUUUUGAAUUCCUUUGUCUUUCCUAAAUUUUGAAAUGUAUUUCAUCACUUAGAAUUCCUUCCCCUCCCCCUUCUAAAUUUGCCACUUCUUUACUGCAGGUGAAGAUUCGAAUAUAUUUUUGUACAAAUCAGCAUUCUUAUAAGGACUACUGUGCAACUCUUAAUUUAUUGAACCAACCAAAAAGAGUUGGUGAAAUCCAACAGAUGAAAAUGAUAGUUUGUAGUAACAGAAUGAUCCUAAGAGCUUCUUUGAAUAAACUUUCAUGGUUUCUGUUCUUUUAUUGGUGGACGUUAUUUGACUUAUGUUAAGAUUUGGUUUCGUUUCUAUUUUUAUGAUUUGAGUUGAUAUUUAAUUUGAAGUUGCUUUGGGUUGUA